UGAGAAUUGCCUGAUAACAAAUAAACUGCAAAAAGAAUUCUCAUCCUAAGGACAAGAAUAAAAGCCUUAAAACAUCUAACAAGACCAACACUGACCCAAACUAACUUUUUUUAAACUAAGAAACUUAAUUAACACUAACCUUAGCCCUUAAUCUAAUCUCCUAAAAUAUAAUCAUCUAACUUUUUUUUUUCUAUUUCCAUAUUACAUAACAUCCCUAUACAAAAAGAACAUUGAACAAAGAAAUUGAAAAAAAAACUAGCCAAAUAACACUAAGAACUGAAAUGACAGACUCUAUGACUAGGAAAAACUGUUUCUCUGCUUCUUUUCAUUCACUUGUGCUCCUCCUCAACCGACACAUUGCUCGGGUUGAACUCCAGUUGGGUGGCUAUUGCUGGUGAUGAGGUCCUGGCUAUGAUGUCGUUGUCUGGGACGAUGGUGGUUCUCAUUUCAAGAACCUUCUUGUGAGAGUUUGAGUGCAAUGCUGGAACAAAUGUAGGACUUGCAGCUGGCCUGUAUUCAGGGAAGAGUCGUCCUGACUUGUAACGAACACCACAGGCGUUGCAGAGAGUUUUUGGUCCCAUUGGACCAGCCCUCCAUUGAGGAGUCUUUGUUAUCUCGCAAUGCUGGCAUUUCCGAACUGCUUGUUGUGCCACUGGAUUCUGAUUUGUCUCGACCGGAGCUAGAGGAAUAGAGAAUUUGAUCUUCUUUUUCUUUUUCUGUUCUGGUUCAGCCGGUUUCAGAAUCUUCUUCAUGGGAGACUCCGCGAAAUUCUCUGAUUCUGUUGGAACAACUGGAGCAACAAAUACUGGGAAGGGAUUAAAAGUUGUUGGGCGAGGACGCUUGGUCCGAGCACGUUGUGGACCACGGUGGCAUGGACUAAGGGGUAAAGUUUUUUCCCCCGAGCUGGAAAAUGACGAGCUGCUGCUGCUGCUGCUUUCAAGCACAGACACAGGACUCGAAGUCUGGAACUUGCCUUGGGAUGACGGCUCUUUCUCAACAGGAAUGUUUUCUUUCCCGAGAGUCAAUCCCCCGCCGGAGAAAGAAUCCUCCACAAAUGUUGAAAGCCAUUCAAGCUGGACAAUAUCCUCAUACGGAACUGAGAGCUCAGCCGAGAGGUCAGAGGCAGAAUUCCGGUGGCUGCCAGAGAAAAGGGAGUCAGAAUCCGGUAAGGGGUCAUUCCAAAUGCUUGGAAAAUCUUUGCAAUCAGUAGAACUAAGGCCAACAUUCUCACUCUCAAGAGGGAAAUCAAUCAAAUCAUCAAUGUGGUCAAAGAAGCUGCCACAAUCUAUCUCAUCUACCACAUUUGACCCCAUAGUUUCUUGAUUUUUUUCUACUCUAAAAACCUUUACCUUGAAGAAACUAGCUAGCUAUCUAGAAAAAUGAGAAAGG
rnacentral:misc_RNA from 1 species